rnacentral:rRNA from 1 species
CACGUAGGGGGCGAGCGUUGUCCGGAUUUAUUGGGCGUAAAGAGCUCGUAGGCGGCUCAGUAAGUCGGGUGUGAAAACUCCAGGCUCAACCUGGAGACGCCACCUGAUACUGCUGUGGCUAGAGUCCGGUAGGGGAGCAUGGAAUUCCCGGUGUAGCGGUGAAAUGCGCAGAUAUCGGGAGGAACACCGGUGGCGAAGGCGGUUCUCUGGGCCUGUGCUGACGCUGAGGAGCGAAAGCGUGGGGAGCGAACAGG